GCCAAAUGAAUAAAGACCAUCCUUGGCCUUAAAAACAAAAACUUCCCUCGUAGUCUUAUUUUAAUCUUUUUUUGAAAGAUUAGGGGAAGAAAAUAAGAGAUAGAAAUGAGAUAGACAAUAUGUGUGUAUGAGAAGUCUGGUACCUCACAGAGGGGUCCUGGAAGGUCUCUCUGAGGAGGUGACAUUUGAGAUGUGACCAGAAUAUGCAAAGAACCUGGAAAGAAGCUCUCUAAGCUGAAGAAAGUGAUUACAAAAGAGACAUCUUGGGGUCAGAGGAAAAGAAAGACUGUGCCUGUCUGGAACCCAGUGGACAGGAGAAGAGCUCAAGAAAUGAGCAACACCACUGCAGAUAAAAUCAUUAGGCAGAAUCUGGAGAGGUUCAAGUGAUACUUGCUUCAAAGAAGGCCUUUCCUGAGGACAGGGUAGGACAUCUUUAAUGAUCUGGAAGCCAGUAUUGCUCAGCACUUAAGGCUUUGGUAUCAGGAUGAUGCUGGCCUCAUAAAAUGAGUUAGGGAGGAUUCCCGCUUUUUCUAUUGAUUGGAAUAGUUUCAGAAGGAAUGGUUCCAGCUCCUCCUUGUACCUCUGGUAGAAUUCGGCUGUGAAUCCAUCUGGUCCUGGACUUUUAUUGGUUGAAAGAGGAAAUUUGGACACACAUGAGAAAUACCAGGGAUAUGCCUACACAGAGAAAAGUCCAUGUAAGGACACAGCAAGAAGGCGGACACCUGCAAGCCAAAGAGAGAGGAGUGUGGUCUCUGGAGAAAUUUAACCUGCCAACACCUUGAUCUUGGACUUCUAGUCUCCAGAACUGUCGGUAAGCAGAGUGGGCUCCAAAGGCAGGAGAAAGUUGCAGCCUAAGAGAUGCAGACUCACAUUUGGAAGACAAGCUGGUGUGUCAGUCCUGGUUACUGGAAUAUUGAAUUGUGACUGACUGAUUUUGCUGUGAAGAUUCUAUGAAGAGAAUACCAAUUGAAUGACUGCAUUGUUCUUCUGUGAGUCUAUUUCAAGCUAAAUUUGAUAUGG